ACACACACAACUCACAAUCUAUUAUAGACACACACAACUCACAAUCUAUUAUACACACACACACACAAACUCACCACAUACCACGCACAGUACUGUUACAGAUUGAGAAACCCGUUGUUACUCUGAGAUAAAUAUCUAUUGACCUGACAAAUAAGUCAUUUUAUAGAAAGACUUCAAUAAUAUAUGGUUCGGUCUUAACCCAAAUGUAUGACAUAAGUAUUAUGUGAAACAUAUGUAGCUUGUGUAAUGCAAAAUAACAAUUCCUAAUACAUAUGGGCUGCAGGUAGCCUAGUGGUUAGAGUGGGGGAGGCAGGUAGCCUAGUGGUUAGAGUGGGGGAGGCAGGUAGCCUAGUGGUUAGAGUGGGGGAGGCAGGUAGCCUAGUGGUUAGAGUGGGGGAGGCAGGUAGCCUAGUGGUUAGAGUGUAGGGGCGGCAGGUAGCCUAGUGGUUAGAGUGGGGGAGGCAGGUAGCCUAGUGGUUAGAGUGUUGGGCCAGUGACCUGAAAGUAGUUAGUAUAUAUACAGUAGUUAGUAUAUUCAGAUAGCUAGGUGAGACAACCACAUAUCACAGUAGUUAGUAUAUUCAGAUAUCUUCAGACCCAUCCCCAGUGCCCAGUCCACAGUCCUAUUCCCCAAUCCAUUACCUCAGCAGUACCAGUCAGUCCAUUACCUCAGCAGUACCAGUCAG
ensembl:lncRNA